GAGUUUUCAGAGUUACAGACUUGAGGACAAGUCUUAAUUCAAGCAGGGUGGGAUGUUGUGAUCCCAACACCUUCACACAUAUUUCUUUUUUAGGUUUUUCCUUAUUUAGUUGGCUUCCUUAAGUAGUUAUUGAGUGCAACUAGGAUUUCUUGUUUACCGAGCAAUGCUCUUUUCCAGUCUCACAAUUCUCUUUUCAACCUCAUCUUCUCUUACAAAAUUCUCUUUUUCUUGCUGGUUUGAGUUACUACUGAUUGUUUAAGUCGCGUACCAUAACAGAAGGAUUCGAAGUAGAAGAUGUGAAUGCUUCCGUCGAUUAAUAACAGGAAGAAUGGAAAUGGUCGCUGCUGUUUGAAGUGAAUAGUUAGGGUUUUGCAGAUGAAUUAAUUAAUUGAAGAAUUAAAUCCAGGGUCUGAGAAUUUGAGGCUUUUUCUGAGUCUUGAUGUUACGGAGAAGAAGAUGUGGUUCUCUGUUAACAAAGAGAAGGGUUGAGGAACUCAAAUUGGGGAAAUCAGAGAGAUGGGUUUGAUGUUGUUACCAUGGUGAUUGUCAAGGGAUGGGGCUGUUGUCAAAUUAAGAGAAGAACGAAGAUCCUGGGUUGUGUGAUUUAUGGGUUUUGUUCAGAGAAGAUGAUGGAGAUGUUGUUGUGUAACGAUGGUGGUCGAAAUUGAAGAACUGAAUGUGAAAUUAGUGUUCUGAAAAUGGUGGAAUUCUGUUGCUGUUCGAGAAGAACAACGUGAGGAACAGAGUGGUAUUGAGGAACAUCGUGAACUAAUUUGUUCAAUUUCAGUGAUUUUCCUUCAAUUUCAGUGUUGUUGAACUAAUUUGUUCACCAAACAUCGUAAUUGAAGAAGAAAUUGACGGAAUUCACGAUUAAACCCAAACUUCCAAAGCCAUCACAAUUUGCCUAAGUUAGAACAUGGAAACUCAUUAAAAAAUAGACGAUAUGUGGAUAAGAAUUUGAGCAGGGAAGAAGAGGAGUUGUUACUGCCAUGGACUUCAGUGGGUUAACUAAGACUCUCAAAAUGGUGAUGUACGUAAGUGAUUCAGUGGAAGGAUUAGAGUCUUGAAUCAUGGGUUCUCAUCAGAUUUGAUUUGCAGCAAGGAAAUGAAGAAACCAAGACGAACUCCUGAUGGUGGAAGUUAGGUUUUGGUUGAUGGCCGGGAAUUCAAUCGAAGUAAAUGGAGAUGCUGCUACUGUUGGCUUGAGGGAAUGAUGGUGCUAUGGGCUAAUUGCAAUUGAAAGUAGAGGUCUAAAUCAAGUGCCACUCUGGCUAAGCGCCCUACAGCCAUCCAACUGUUGCAUCUGGUACUGUUUUUCAUUUAGCUUUAUCACACAUUUCUUAGGUGCUGUGAUUUACUCGCAGUGCAAAGGUAAGGGAGUGAAUUCUGUUGACCACUUUGACAGCGGUUCAAGGCAGGUGGUUUAGGACAUGCUCAUCGUUGGAACCGAUGCAUCUUCUUCGACGCUUGUGUGCGCAAUGACAGAACCAAUUAGGAUUCCAACAGUGAUGGAAAGAGUACAAGAGGAAGUGAGAAGAAUUCUCGGCAAUAAAAACGUAAAGAGGAACCAAUUUGGCAUUUACUAAUACAUACCCUGAUACAACCUAAAGUAAAGCAUUUUAAUAAACAAGGUUUUCUUAUUCAAGCAACUGUACCUUGAGACACACCACAGAAACUUGACAAAUUGCGAAGAAAAACUUGACGGAUCUUUUUUGUUUCAUACAGAAUUGGUUGAUUUAGAGAAGAAAAACUUAACAGAUUGCGAGAUGGAGUCACUUUGGUGACCAAAAGACAAGAAAGGCCAUUGAAGAACUUUAUUUGGACAAAUUAAUCACUGGAGAGAGCAUAAAAAUUUACUUGGGACACUAUUACUGAGAACUCACCGAAAGAUUUAAAAGAAUUCAAGGAGGUACUUGGAAUUGAAUCCGACGAAUAUGUUGGUGUAAGCUUGCAUUCGUGAGUGAGUUAAUGCCUCAAAAUAAGAAUCGAGGAAAAGGUCAGUAAAACUUGGAAUUGAAAUGAUGAAGAUGUUGGUGUAAGCUUCCAGUUGUUAGGUGAGUUAACGACUUGAUCAAAGUAAGUAGGAUGUCAGUAACUUUCACGGAUAUAACUAAGUGUUGUGCAGUUAAUGAGGGUUUGUUAGCUUUGUCCUGUUAUAUAUAUUUAACUGCCAGUGCUAUCUUGUGACUCUAAAGUGGCUUUAACCUAUCCUAGAAGACAUUAGGAGACUGUAAUUUAUUUAUGUGCAUAUCGUCAAGUUGUUGCUUCAAUGUAAGAGUUUUAAUAUUUAUUUGAUGUUUUCUUGUG